GGGGGAUCGAAUUCCGAUACGAACGAAUGUUUUGUGGCAGGGGGCCUUUUGGCAAUUUACCGCUACUUCGUCGCUGGUCAGCGAGUUUUCAGCUUCGUUGCCGAUUCCAUUCCCCAAAGCAGGAAACUGGCUGAUCGAAAGCCGAGAAAAAGUCUAGCUAUGAUAAAGAUGGGCACAGGGUUUACGAAUUCGGUGACCGAGGCUGGUGGAGACUUCAUCUCGCUGACUAGCAGACAAUAUCUACGUUAAAUGAUCUAUUUCCUGAACAUACAGUCAAAGAAGUGUAUCUACCUUUCUUCGAGUUUGCUUAUAAAGAUUCC
rnacentral:misc_RNA from 1 species